CCUACGGGUGGCUGCAGUGAGGAAUAUUGGUCAAUGGGCGCGAGCCUGAACCAGCCAAGUAGCGUGAAGGAUGACUGCCCUACGGGUUGUAAACUUCUUUUAUAAAGGAAUAAAGUGAGGCACGUGUGCCGUGUUGUAUGGACUGUAUGAAUAAGGAUCGGCUAACUCCGUGCCAGCAGCCGCGGUAAUACGGAGGAUCCGAGCGUUAUCCGGAUUUAUGGGGGGUAAAGGGAGCGUAUAUGGGUUGUGAAGGCAGUUGGGAACGUUUGCGGCUCAACCGUAAAAUUGCAAUUGAUACUGGCAGCCUUUAGUACAGUUGUGCUCGGCCGAAUUCGUGGUGUAGCGGUGAAAUGCUUAGAUAUCACGAAGAACUCCGAUUGCGAAGGCAGCCUACUAAACUGCCGCUGACAUUGCUGCUCGAAAGUGUGGGUAUCAAACAGGAUUAGAUACCCUAGUAGUC
rnacentral:rRNA from 1 species